UCCAUUAUGGCAGAAUUUAGUGCAUUGAAUUUAAGAUUCAUAUAUAAAUAUUUUAUUUUUUUGGAA
rnacentral:tRNA from 1 species